rnacentral:rRNA from 1 species
AUGACCUUCAGCGUCUCGGCGGCGAUGGAGGGGGGCCACGAGUACAUGAUCCGCUUCGACGGCCACUUCGACGACCCGUCGCCCAGCACUGCCACCGCCGAGCCGCCGCCAGCGCCGCCGCAGCCGUUCGCGGGCAGGGCGAUCUCGCCGGAGCAGGAGCACAGCGCCAUGGUCGCCGCGCUGCUGCACGUCAUCUCCGGGUACACCACGCCGCCGCCGGACUUCUUCCCGGCGGCCGCGAGCAAGGAGGUGUGCCCGGCGUGCAGGGUGGACGGCUGCCUCGGCUGCGAGUUCUUCGGAGCGGAGGCAGGGACAGGGCCGGUCGCGGCGGCAUUGGACGCGCCGAAGGUGACUGCGGCGACGGCGGGCGGGCCGCAGAGGCGGCGAAGGAACAAGAAGAACAAGUACCGGGGCGUCAGGCAGCGCCCGUGGGGCAAGUGGGCAGCGGAGAUCCGCGACCCGCGCCGCGCCGUGCGGGUGUGGCUCGGGACCUUCGACACCGCCGAGGACGCCGCCAGGGCCUACGACCGCGCCGCCAUCGAGUUCCGCGGCCCGCGCGCCAAGCUCAAUUUCCCCUUCCCCGAGCAGCAGCAGCAGCUGGGCGACGGGAAUGCCGCCGCGGCCAAGUCCGGCACGUGCUCGCCCUCGCCCCGCAGCGCCGACGUCGAUGUCCGGGUCCCGCAGGCGUGGCAGCAGAACGGCGGGCAGGAAACAGGGGAUCAGCUCUGGGACGGCCUGCAGGACCUGAUGAAGCUAGACGAGAGCGAGCUCUGGUUCCCGCCAUCUGGAAAUUCGUGGGACUGA